AGUGAUUCUGUUGAGACAGAAUUAGCAUCUCUGUUUCGUGCUGGAGCAGCUAGCAGAAGUUCGGCUGUGACACCAGGAAAUCAAGAACAAUGGUUGGCUGGUCCUGCAAUUCCCCGUUUCCAAGCCCAGCAGUGUUUUGGACCUUGGUCUACCAGCAAGAGAAGAAGACCCAAAGGGAUCCAAUACCAUGAAAGCUUUAAUAAAGAAGUAAUACUUCUUCCUGAUUCCACAUGGGAAGUGAUUUGCAAGCCACCUUUCAAGCAAUACUUACAUGAAAAUGGACAUAUACUGAGUGCUUUUGAGUUUCAUAAGUCUUGGGACUAUCAUACUGUGAUUCAGCAAAU